AAAACUUGGUUCAAAAAUGACAUAAAAUGAGAAGAAUUUGAUAUCAUUCAUCUGAGAAAUGAUCUUUACAAUCUAGUAUAAAUAGACACUUUGAUCAACAAACUUAACUAACUAACAAACUUGUUAUAGACUAAUACAAUUGUGACACGUAUAUCAGUGCAACUAACAGAACUAUUUCCCAGCUGCGUAAUCCAUUUGCUGCUUCCGGUUAACUUCCACUCCAGCUUCUUCUAGCUUACUCCCAGCUGCUUCCAGCUUGCCUCUAUUCUGUUAAUCUCCAUGCAUUUCUCGCAAUUCCCUGGCCGCAUACUAGGCAUGGUUUUUUCGUCGGGCAAUCCAACAAGCAAUGUCUCAGCUUCCUGCAACCACAACAAAUCCCCUUGUUCUUUCCUCCCAUUAUACUAUCAUAUUGCAGCCACAAAAAUGAAAAGAAAAAAGAUCAGUAAUCAUGUUCAUUCCACCUAAUAAAUGGCUGAUCAUAUUGUUCUUUCCUCCAUUAUACUAUCCUAUUGCAACCACAAAAAAGAAAAGAAAAAAGGUGAGUAAUCAUGUUCAUUCAAAUGGCU
rnacentral:lncRNA from 1 species